GCCUCCAGCCUGGGCAACAGAACGAGACUCUGUCUCAAAAAAAAAGCUCUAAUUAAUUGGCCUAAAGGAAGACAAGUGCUUGGAUCAAAUAUUUUUUAAAGGGAAGAUAAAAGAUAUGGUACCUUUCAGUUCACAUGACUUCAGUCUUUGAUAAAUAAAAACAUCCUUAAAGAUUACUGGUAAAAAGCAGAUGUCACCAAAAUAGAUAGGGUCUCAGUUUGUUGCCCAGCUGGUCUGGAACUCCUGGCUUCAAGCAAUCCUUCUGCCUUGGCCUCCUAAAGUGCUGGAAUUACAGGCAUGCCCAGGCCUUUAUUAUUUUGAGGCCUUUCUCCAUUGUGGACUUUUUGAUGCUAAAAGACAUUGGUGACACCUUCAGGUAAAGGCUUUCAACAUUCAUUGUAUUCAUAAGGCCUUUUCCAGUGUGGCAGAUCUGCUUGAGGCCCAACUCUAUCAUCACCUAACUCUCUGACCCAAAGAUGGGGGAUAGUCACCCCAAAGACCAAGGCCAGAUUAGAAAAUUGGGACUUUCAGGCCCACCCUCCAAUCUUCCGGAAGGGUAAGGAGAAAGACGCUUUAGAAAUAAACUACAGUAGCUCUAUUAAUUCUUUCAAUCAGUUUAGCUAUUCGUUUGUGAAAUUUCAUUUUGUGCAGGGAGGUAACACCUGCACUUCUGUCACCUGCUAGCAGUCUCACAAAUAUGUAUUAUUGGUCAGAAAUGGAAUUAGAAACUUCUAUCAUGAGCAGGUGGAGGAACUAAAAACAGAAGGCCAUUUGUAUUAUAUCAUCC
rnacentral:lncRNA from 13 species